ACUUUGUAAUGUUUAUAGACAUAGCCUUGUGUAUGACUGUCUAAUCAACAGUGCAAGGAAUUAGUUGUGCUCUCAAAAGGAGUUAUGUGAAGGAAAGAUUAAAUGGAUACAUUUAAUUAAGUACAAUUACUACAAAAUCUAUAAUGACUGGGUAAGUCACCCGUAAGAAGGAUGAGUUAGUAGAGAUAUAAUAAUAUCUUACAGUUCAACUGAUGUGCAAGUUUAUAAGUAGACGUAGUGUGAAAGACUUAUCGCUAACGCAAUAGACGUUAUCUCGAAAGGAUAAAAGAAACCAAGAAGAUAUACAAAUUGGUAACUUGUAUAAGCCCUUGGUAAUACCAAAUAAGUUAGUUCCUCAUGAUGUCGUUGAAAAAUGACUAUAAGAUAAGUUGAAUUCGAUAGUAGCCCAAGAGGAAUCAAAUGAGUAAAACAAGUAUUAUAGGUAAAUAUUAUGUUUUUCUAUCUGAAUGAUUGUGCCUUGAAAAAGGUGGGUGAGGUCUGUGGGUAAAAAUUAAUUCCCAUCUGGUUUUGGAUUUUCUUCGGAAAAUUGGUGCAAGAAGCGUGGAGUUGCUAACCAUUGCUCAGACUUGUAUCGCCAGUAGCACGAUAACGAUAUUUAUGAAUGUUGUAAGGUGAAUAAAAGCCUAUGAUUUGUGAACAUUCCAAA
rnacentral:sRNA from 12 species